AGGUAUCCAGCUUGAUAAGCUGCUAAAGAAAAACGAUAUAUAUCAACAAAGAUCACCCAAGUAUUCCUCCACAUCACAAGCUGCAGUUCCUUUCUUUAUAUCCAACUAGGAACUUUUCUAUCAACAGCCAAACACUUUAUACAUAAAACAUAGUCAUGCCACGCCAGAAAAUUGUCUAACCCUAGCUAGUUAGUUGUACUGCCGAAGAGCACAUUAAAGUUAUACAAAUGUCAGCAUGAAAAUUAAAAAGCUAGUUUGAAACUG